rnacentral:ncRNA from 1 species
AGGCCUGAGGCGCGGUCGACCACCCGCUGAACUUAAGCAUAUCAUUAAGCGGAGGAAAAGAAAACAACCGUGAUUCCCCUAGUAGCGGCGAGCGAAGCGGGAGAAGCCCAAUCCGAAUCGGCGCAGCCGAGUUGUGGAGUAGUGAGGACGCCGGGGCGGACGUCGCGUGCACCAAAGUCUUCCUGGAAAGGAGCGCCAGAGAGGGUGAUAGCCCCGUGUACGUGCGCGCGCGCCCGCGCGACCCGGUGUCUGCGGAGUAGUACUGCUUGGGAAUGCAGUGCGAACGGCAGGUAUACCUCUGCCAAGGCUAAAUAUCAUGGGGAGACCGAUAGCGAACAAGUAGCGUGAGCGAAAGAUGAAAAGCACUUUGGAGAGAGAGUGAAACAGCACCUGAAGCUGUUGUGAGGUAAGGGAUGGAUCACUAUCCAAGG